rnacentral:rRNA from 1 species
AGCGAACGUUAGCGGCGGGCCUAACACAUGCAAGUCGAACGAGAAAAUCCCUUCGGGGGUGAGUACAGCGGCGAACGGGUGAGGAACACGUGGGUAACCUGCCUGGGAGUGGGGGAUAACCUGGGGAAACCCGGGCUAAUACCGCAUACGUCCUUGGGGCCUCGGGUCCUGAGGGGAAAGCUUGCCUCUGCAUGCAAGCUGGCGCUCCCAGAGGGGCCCGCGCCCGAUUAGCUUGUUGGUGAGGUAACGGCUCACCAAGGUGACGAUCGGUAGCCGGCCUGAGAGGGUGAUCGGCCACACUGGGACUGAGACACGGCCCAGACUCCUACGGGAGGCAGCAGUGGGGAAUAUUGGACAAUGGGCGCAAGCCUGAUCCAGCAACGCCGCGUGGAGGAAGAAGGCCUUCGGGUCGUAAACUCCUGUCAGUUGGGACGAAAAGCCAUCGGUGAAUACCCGGUGGUCAUGACGGUACCAGCAGAGGAAGCCCCGGCUAACUCCGUG